rnacentral:rRNA from 1 species
GUCAGCAGCCGUAUCACCCUGCAGCUCCCAACUGGCUCCCCACUGAAGCUCAGCACGGUUGAGCCUGGUCAGUACCUGGAUGGGAGGCCUCCUGGGAAGCUAUGGUUGCUGCUGGAA